rnacentral:tRNA from 1 species
UCCCCUGUAAUUCAAUUGGUAGAAUAUCUGACUGUUAAUCAGAAAGUUGUAGGUUCGAGUCCUACCGGGGGAG